AUGAUAAUGGAGGUAAACACAUUCUUCACAAUCCUUCUCCAUUGCUAGUAUACUAUGCGACCAACAUCGUCAUAUUCUCAUAAAACCACCCCCAUCGCAGCUGACAACCACCACCGUUUACUCCUCACCGAGCCCUAAUCGGAGACAUAUCCAUUGUCGCCGUCAGCCAGCAAUCACCAAUUGAAUUGGAUUUCACAAUCGAAGACAUCUCAAAUGAUCGAUUCCCCUGCCCGAAAAUCACGUAUUAUGUUCCAAUCGAACGAACAAACCAGCUUUAGUGUUAGUUUGGAUGUUGUUGCGAUCAACAAUCGGCUUUACACUAUAAAAAAAAUCACAAUGAAAAAUUGAAUCAUCAUCAGCACCAUCUCCACUUCCGGAUAUAGAGCUAUUUCUCUUAAUUGUUGAGGCUAUGAACUAUAAGAUCCAGCUUCCUAUACAAAGAAAUUUGGAUUCUUCGAUCCCAUCGAUGAUCUUUUCGUAAUCCUUGAUUUUUUUUUGGAAUUGGUAAGGUGCGUCAACUAAUUGAUGCAACUAACAGUAGGUUUUGAACUUUUGAAUAACUCAUUGGAGCGAUUGAUUGUUUAUUUCAACAGUUCAUACAUAUCAUCGUUUCUGCUAAAUUUCCUAAUGUGUUUUCGAUUCCUAAUUCAACCCAGUUUAAUGAAUUUUAGUGUGUAUUCACUCCCAGGUGUAGGUAAAUCAUGUUUGUUGUUGCAAUUCACCGACAUGAGGUUUUAACCAGUUCAUGACUUGACUAUUGGAGUCGAAUUUGGUGGUCGUACGGUCGCCAUUGAUGGUAGCCCAUUAAGCUUCAGAUUUGGAUAUUGAUAGCCAAGAAUCAUUCAGAUCAAUCGCCAGAUUGUAUUGCAGAGGAGCAGCCAGAGCUCUUUUGGUUUAUGGCAUCAACAUGUAGCUAUCAAAUCAUAUCAUAUGUAACGGUUUUCGUAUAUACAAGUUGAAGUUGUAUUCAUUAUCUAUUUUGUUUAACUGAUUUCAUGAGAAAAAUAUUCAAUCA